rnacentral:rRNA from 1 species
AUCAAUAAGCGGAGGAAAAGAAACCAACCGGGAUUCCCCCAGUAACGGCGAGUGAAGCGGGAACAGCCCAGCGCCGAAUCCGCCGUGGUCAACGGCCCGGCCGGAACUGUGGCGUGAGGGACGCAGCCAGCCGACAGGAAGGACGCCCGAGUCCCCCCGAGCGGGGCCCAUCCCACAGCGGGUGCCAGGCCUCUGCCGGCGUCCAUCCGGUCGGCCGCUGCCGUCCCCGGAGUCGGGUUGCUUGGGAAUGCAGCCCGAAGCGGGAGGUAAACUCCUCCUAAGGCUAAAUACCGGCGCGAGUCCGAUAGCGGACAAGUACCGCGAGGGAAAGUU